CGCCGCCCCUCCCCCGCGCGGGUUGGUCUCAGCCCGGCGACCCCGGAGCGGUGGCCGGUGCGCAGGUGCAGAGCGCCACCUGGCGGCCGCGGGUCUCCGACCGGGGUCUGGGGAGACUGCCGCCGGGGUGCGAGCUGCCAGGUUGGAGAGGUGGACCGGGGUCUCUUCCUCCAGGAGCUGGGCUCUGCAGAGCGGGGACUUUGUUCUGUCACUGCUGUGCCCCCAGGGCCAGGCUGGCCCUCAGUAGAUGCCCCAUAACCGUUUGUUGAAAGGAUGGAUGGGCCAGCAGGAAAUUAUAGACGUGCCAACUGUCAACGUCACACAGCUUAGUUGGCAGCAAGAAAUCAUUUAUUAGAAGUACCCUCUGAACUUAGAGGAAAAGCCAAACUCCUUUGGAACAUACAUAACAGGGCUUGCUGACCCCUCAGACCCGGUCCCUUUCUCUUGCCUCCUUCCUGUUCUUUGGGGCCAGAACUUUCCCAGCCCCGGACCUCUACCCAGAUGUCACCCCCCCCCCCCACCGAAAGGAAGUGUUGCCCUCCUCUGCCUCACUUUUCUCGGUCUGUUCUGUGUAUUUCUUUUAUAGUGAGUACUUAGCACAAUGUGAAAGCGGCUUGUCUGCUUGCUCCCCCUGGGGGGAGGGGGUCUGUCUUGUUCCUCACCACAGCCCAGCGGCUGGAAUCCUUUGGGGACAAGGGAAUGAGGGCAGAUGGGCCGGACCCGGCACCUUCUCUUCACCGUUAUACCAUCCCACCACCCACGCCCUGGCCCCGGGGUGCCUGGCUCCACUGACCUGCCGCAGCCUGCAAGUCUGGGGUCGCGGGCUUGAGGAGAGAGCACCGCGGAGACCUCCAGCAUGUGCGCCCACUGUGCCUGUGAGGGCACCGACAGCCCCGUCCUCAGGGUGCCCGGCCUCUCUCCCCAGGCCUAAGCCCCCGAGACUCCACUCAUAAUACAAGGGCACACGGGUUCGAGCCCUGGUCCGGGAAGAUCGCACAUGCCGCAGAGCAACUGAGCCCGUGUGCCACAACUACUGAGCCUGCAGUCUAGAGCCCAUGAGCCACAACUACUGAGCCCACGUGCUGCAACUACUGAAGCUCGCGUGCCUAGAGCCCAUGAUCCGCAACAAGAGAAGCCACCGCAAGGAGAAGCCCGCGCACCGCAAGGAAGAGUAGCCCCCGCUGCACGCAACUAGAGAAAGCCCGUGUGCAGCAACAAACACCCAACACAGCCAAUAAAUAAAUAAAUAAAUAAAUAAAUAAAUUUAUUAAAAAAAUACGUUGACAGAUUUGGGAUGAGAGAAAUGUUCUAAAAUUAGACUGUGGUGAUGGUUGUAACUCCAUAAACUUACUAAAACUCAUUGAAAUGUAUGCUUAAGUUAACUUUAUGGUGUGUAGAUUAUACCACAAUUGCUUAAAAAUAAAUAAAUUAAAAACCA